rnacentral:rRNA from 1 species
UACGUAGGGGGCGAGCGUUGUCCGGAAUCAUUGGGCGUAAAGCGCGUGUAGGCGGCCCGGUAAGUCCGCUGUGAAAGUCCAGGGCUCAACCCUGGGAUGCCGGUGGAUACUGUCGGGCUCGAGUCCGGAAGAGGCGAGUGGAAUUCCUGGUGUAGCGGUGAAAUGCGCAGAUAUCAGGAAGAACACCCGUGGCUAAGGCGGCUCUCUAGUACGGUACUGACGCUGAGACGCGAAAGCGUGGGGAGCGAACAGG